UACAGAGGUCUCAAGCGUUGUUCGGAUUCAUUGGGCGUAAAGGGUGCGUAGGCGGCGCGGGUAAGUCGGGUGUGAAAUCGCGGAGCUUAACUCCGAAACUGCAUUCGAUACUGCCGUGCUUGAGGACUGGAGAGGAGACUGGAAUUUACGGUGUAGCGGUGAAAUGCGUAGAUAUCGUAAGGAAGACCAGUGGCGAAGGCGGGGUCUCUGGACAGUUCCUGACGCUGAGGCACGAAGGUCAGGGGAGCAAACGGG
rnacentral:rRNA from 1 species